rnacentral:rRNA from 1 species
GUGGGGAAUUUUGGACAAUGGGGGCAACCCUGAUCCAGCCAUGCCGCGUGCGGGAAGAAGGCCUUCGGGUUGUAAACCGCUUUUAGUCGGGAAGAAAAGGCGUCCACUAACACUGGGCGUUCUUGACGGUACCGGCGGAAUAAGCACCGGCUAACUACGUGCCAGCAGCCGCGGUAAUACGUAGGGUGCGAGCGUUAAUCGGAAUUACUGGGCGUAAAGCGUGCGCAGGCGGUUCGUUAAGUUUGCGGUGAAAGCCCCGGGCUCAACCUGGGAAUGGCCGUGGAAACUGGCGGGCUGGAGUGUGGCAGAGGGGGGUGGAAUUCCGCGUGUAGCAGUGAAAUGCGUAGAGAUGCGGAGGAACACCGAUGGCGAAGGCAGCCCCCUGGGCCAACACUGACGCUCAGGCACGAAAGCGUGGGGAGCAAACAGGAUUAGAAACCCGGGUAGUCC